UGGGGAUGGAACUUGUGUCCGCUUUGGC
rnacentral:sRNA from 1 species